UGUAUAUAUAUAUUUAUAGAGUUUGUACUCAAAUAUUAUUUUUCUAUUUUAUUUGGUAUGUGGACAUGCUAAAUCAAGUUGAAAAAUUGUCUUCUGUGUAGGUACCAAGGCAAAUGUAAAACCUUAAUGUACGAUGUUACAAAAAUAAUUUCAGCACUCAAAGGGAAAUGUGGAGACCAUCGUGCAUUUAGGUUGGCUGAAAACUUGUGCAUGAACCUUAUUCUGUCAUUGAGGGACUUUUUCUGGGUGAAAAGGGAAGGGAAGGGUCCAACUAAUUUUACAGAAACUUUGAACCGAAUCACUGUCAUUACUUAUGCUAUUAUGAUUAAAACACGUGGAAUUGCUGAUGUUGAUCACCUGCUUUAUUUUCAAACCAUGGUAGAACAAAUAAUGGGAGCUAGUCAGCAUACAUGGUCUGAGAAAACACUGCGCCAUUUCCCAUCUAUCCUUCGUGAUGCUGUGAUUGGCCGCUUGGAUAAGAGGAUUCUUCCAAUUCAAGCAUAGCAACAGGGAAUAUCAGAGGACUAACUUUUAAGGUGGAUGUCUAGAUUUAUUAGGAAGAAUACUGAGAAAAGAAACAUGAUUGAGUUUGUAGUGAUUUGGAGGAGAAUUAUGCUGUCUUAUUGAGAUUUGUUGUAUUUUAUAUUCUAAAGUUUAUGGAUUUAUAAUAUUGUAAUGAAUUUUUAUUGAGAAUUAUUUAGUCU